AAGGAGCUGGGGGUCCUGGUGGCCAGCAGGAUAACCACAAGCCAGCAGUGUGUUCUGGCAGCCAAGAAGGCCAAUGGUUCCCUGGGGGUCACUGCACACAGCACGGCCAGCAGGGCAGGGAGGUGCUCCCCACUCUGCUCUGUGCUGGGGAGGCACCAUGAGGAGCACUGGGCCCAGUGCUGGGCUCCCCAGUUCAGGACAAACUGGGAACUGCUGGGAGACCCCCACGGAGCGUGCAGAGCUGUGGGGACAGGCUGAGAGCCCCAGGGCUGAGCAGCUCAGGGAGAGAAGGGGAGAGGGGAUCUGAUCAGUGCUGAUCAAUAUCUCCAACCCUUACAAUUCUGUCAUCGUUUGGUUGAGGUGUGUGGUCUGACAGUAAGCACUCCUCAUCCUGCACAGCUCCAGUGCUGCCCUCUCCUCGCUGCGUCCCACCGUUAUCUUUGUGAAGUUAUCCCUUCUCUCCCUGCUCAGGCCCCUUCCAACGACGACGUUCCAGCGUAACGUGGAGGAGUCCAACACGAAGGCGUUGCUCUCACUUCAGCAGGCUGCCCGAUUUGCUUUGCCUCGCUGCAGCACUCUUUGACGUAGCUGAGCUGCAUGAAAUAUGGGCGACGACAGACCCUUCGUGUGCAACGCCCCCGGCUGCGGCCAGGAGCAGAUCUCUCAUUCUGCAGCGCAGAUGCAGCAUGCAGCUGUGACAAAGCCCUUCUCCUCCAUGCCUGCAGAGGCAUUUAAUUCCCAGACACAUGCGUGAGCGUGCAGGACUUGCUGUACACAGUCUGGGACAAAAAUCAUCCGGGGGGGCUCAGCCUUCACCUCCCACCUCCUUCCCCAGCCCCAGCGAUGCAGAGGAGGCUCCCAAGGAGAAGAAGGGCUGUGUGUUCCUUUGCUGCCCUGCUUCAAUUUCCAUCGCUCACCGACACAGGGGGGCACUUUCAGCCACGCUGCCGCCCCUGCAACUCUCCCACGGCUCUGCAGGAGGGAGAAAUGGGCAGCAGGAGAGCAAGCAGAGCUCAAACCCCUCCCGGAGGCUGAGCCCCCCCUCGGGGUCCGGACCCCCCCUGUCUCUGGUGCUGGGGGGUCGCUCCGCCCCUCUGCGGCAGCGCAGUGUGAAUGGGGACGGUGCGUCCUUCUGCAGAGAGCCCACAGCUCUGCGUGGGGGAAAAACCCAUUGAAGAGCACAGGUUCUCCUUGCUGGAGGAAUGGGGGUGGGGUAGCACACCUCUCCGCAGCAAAAUCUGGGAUUUUUCUUUUGCAUUUUUUUCUUAGAGCUUUGAGGGUGUGAGCAGAGCUUUGCAUAGAAGGCAUUUCUGAAUUUUAAGCUGUAGGGUUUUUUUGCCAUCCCCUCUCCUCCCUCUGUGGCUGCUGCUUUGCGUGACGAGCUCAGGGGUGCAGCUCCUCCUUAAGGCACAGAACCCCACACCGCUGUGCCCAUUGCUGGCGAUGCUGUGUUUCUGCUGAGCAAUAAAUGGGUUUAUUUCCAGGGAUUGGUUUGGAGGACAUGCAGGGUUUGCAGGGGCUGCAAGCACACGAAGAGCCACACAGCCGUGGGCAGAAGGGAGAGGUGCAGUGCAGUUCCAUUUAGGGGCACAAAAAAGGGUCCCUUCGUUGUGCAAAAUGUGGCAAUUUGGGGGUUUUGCUUUGGGAGCAUCACCCCUCCCUGUCCGGGGGGAUUUGGGCUGAAGUGAGGGAGGUUUGAGCUCAUGGGUGGUAAUGAUGGGAAGAGGUGUGGGGUGGGGAGGGGCUUUGUGACUAUGGGUGGGGGGGUGAAGGGUGUUAACUAACGAACUCUGCUUAACGAUGCGCCGACAAACUGCACCGCCACAUCGCCGGCAUCGUGGCAGCUGUUCUGCUCAAAUCAUUUUAUUUGAUUCGAUUUGAUUUUAUACAGCGGAUUAAAACAAUAAAAACAUUAAAAGUCCUUAAAAUUCCCCCCGGAGAGUAAAGAUGCAGACAAUGAGGGCUGUGUGUGAGUGUGAGCAGAGGGUGGGAGAGCCGUAAAUCCAUCGGGCGGCGGCGGCUCCGCUAAAUGGCACCAUUACAUGAAAUGAGGUUCUGCAGAGCGGCCGUGUGAGCGGAUCUGAGCUGGGAGGGACCUGAAGGGACCACAGAUCCACCCCUGCAGCCAAAGCACCCUCCCUGUGCUCCGUCCCCACUGGCUUUCCUUGCACCGAAGGAGCUGCUCCGCUCCGUCCUUAUGGAGCAGUGCAGGCGCACAGCGAUGCUGAGUCGUCGUUAGGCUGCCCUGUGAAUGAUGAAUUGGGCAAUUAGGAGCGUUGGGGUGCGCUGCAGUUGGGGUGGCUUCUGGAGGGGCUUUGCUCUGCUCUCCAAAGCUGUGAGGUGCACAGCCCUCACUGCACAGCCCUCACCCAGCAUUCUGGUUCUGUGUGUAAACAGCGAAGGCAUCCGUCUGCAGUGCCGCAUCCAAGGAUCAUCUCCUCCCUUCCAGGACCAUCUCUUCCCUUCCAGGACCAUCUCCUCCCUUCCAGGACCAUCUCCUCCCUUCCAGGACCAUUCCCUCCCAGCCCAGAAGCUCUGCAUCCCCAGAGAAAGGAAGGCAGGCCAGAAUGCCAGGAGGCUUCCUCCUGAGGGCCCUACUAAGGCACGUGGAAAAUAAAGAGGAGGGGAUUGGUGGUAACCACCACGGAGGCACCAAGGGCAACUCGUGCCUGAGGAACCUGUGGCCUUUUGUGGUCCCUUCCUACCCAAACCGUUCUGUGAUUCCAACCCAGUGCAGUGUAGGUGAGAUGGGGGCGAAGAGCCCUCGCACCGGGUGGCUGUGAUGGCACAGGAUCCCACUUUUCUCCUUCAGUGCCACACAGCUGCCCAAACAGCUCAGCCCUGGAGCUUCCUGUUGUAGAGCAGGGCUGAAUGCAUCUCCCUGCUGUAGGGCAGAAGGGAAUUGAGCUCCCUGCUAGAAGACAGGGCACAAUUUCAGCUCCCUGCUGUAAGGCAGGAAGGAAUCAAGCUCCCCGCUAUAGAACAGGCUGGAUUUCGGCUCCCUGCCCUUCCCUUUGCUCUCGGGAGAUGCUGAGCUCCCAAGGAGUCCCAGCACUCGCUGUCGGACGCGCAGCCAUCAUCUCCUUUGUUAACAUUUCCCUGCAGUGCAGCUCCAUGCGCUCUCCGCUCCGUCUGCUCUCCCCCUGCUGAAGCUGAGCGGCUGCCUCUCCCCGCUCUGUGCUGCUGGUGGGGUGGGGGAGGAUUGAUGGCUCUCCCAAGGUCACAGCGGUGCUGCUGGGAGUCGAGUCGGGGCCGUACGGAUGAUUCACAUCCACGCAGGAGCCAUCCAGGGCUUCCCAUGGGGCAGCCACGCAUCCGUGGGCUCCGCUCCGCCCCUCCGCUCAGCUCCGUUAAUUACCGCUGCGCCUCUCGAGUUAUGUGGCAGCGGUAAUUAAUACCGGGGUUCUGAUAACCUUCCCUUGUCUGGGAAGGAGGCAGGGAAUGCUCCGCCGUGUGGAGGUCAGAACUCACUGCAGCUUGGGAUAGAAGGGAUGGCGGCGUGGGGGAUGUGCUGAACCCAAACUGGGGGUUUUGGGGUUUUGGGGUUUGGGGUUCGGGCUGCUCUCCUCCUCCGGAGGACUUUGGCUGUCUGCUCCUCCUCUGCUUUUGUUCACACGGGCUUCUGUUGCAAAGUGGAGGAAUGUUCCUUCCUUCCUCUUUGCCCGGUGAAGUGUGGGUGCCCCAUCCCUGGGUGCUCAGGGCCAUGGAUGGGGCCCUGGGCGGCUGGUGGGGGUGGGAGCAGCCCAGGGCAAAAGGUGGGGCUGAGGGGGGACUUUGGGGCCCUUCCAACCCAGCCAUCCCGUGGUUCUGUGAUCUUUCAGGACCUUUCCAACCCAACCAUCUCACAGUCCUGUGACCUUUAAGAACCCUUCCAGCCCAACUAUCCCAUAGUUCUGUGAUCUUCAAGGACCCUUCCAACCCAACCAUCCCGUGAUUCUGCGAUCCUUAAGGACCCUCCCAGCUCAGGCCGUACAACCAUUCCAUGCUUCCUGAUCCUUCAGCACACCUUGCAGAAACCCCUUUUUGGUGGUGGUCCUGGCAGUGCCCACAGCAGUUCAGACCCAUUGGGAUCUCAGCCCAGCAUCAGAUCUGCUCCUCCCCAGGGCUGCGCUGCUGCGGAACUUCAGCUCCGUGCAGGCGGAGGAGACGCAGCGCCUGCUCAAUGAUAGCAAUUAAAAACCAUUUAAUGAUAAUGAAAAGUUGAGGGCGGUUUCUGAAGGAGUUCUCCCCUCCGUCCUUGGCCGAAAGCUUCUCUCCUCGCUGCACUGUUGGACAGAUGGCUGCUGCCCCCCCCCAACACCUGCAUUCAGCACAGGGGAUGUGUGUGAGAAGCCCUCUGGGACAAGCAGAGCUAUAGAAAUGUAAAUUAAAUUAUUUACCUGCUCCCAGCUAAAUGCUCUGCCCUUCUAGCCAAGGAGGAACGGGGUGGGAUGGGAUGGGAUGGGAUGGGAUGGGAUGGGCUGGGAUGGGCUCCAGGAGCUCCGUGACAAAGUGCUGGAGCAAACUUGGAGGUGUUCCCAUUGCCCUAUGAGUGUGGGGGUGCUCCCCACCCACGGCUGGUUGUGCUGUGUGGGUGCAGUGCCCCAAACUGCUCUUUGCAUUCGUCCUCAUUGGGAUGCUUGGAGCUGCGGUCUCGCCCUUCCUCUGGUGGAAGGGCACUGCUGGACAUGGGGUGGUUUUGGGAGUGCAGACACCCCCAAAGAUCUGGUAAGAAAACCCAGCUGACAGAAGGGAAUGGCAGCAAAGAGAAAACGGGGCUGGAAUUGUGAUGUGUGUCAGGAGUGGCUGUGCGCAACAGUGGGCAGCAAUGGGCAGCAGUGGGCAGUGGGAGACAAUGGGCAGCAAUGGGAGACAAUGGGCAGCAAUGGGAGACAAUGGGCAGCAAUGGGAGACGAUGGGCAGCAAUGGGAGAUGAUGGACAGUAAUGGGAGACGAUGGGCAGCAAUGGGAGACGAUGGGCAGCAAUGGGAGACAAUGGGCAGCAAUGGGAGACGAUGGGCAGCAAUAGGAGACGAUGGGCAGCAAUGGGAGAUGAUGGGCAGCAAUGGGAGAUGAUGGGCAGCAAUGGGAGACGAUGGGCAGCAAUGGGACACGAUGGGCAGCAAUGGGAGAUGAUGGGCAGCAAUGGGAGAUGAUGGACAGUAAUGGGAGAUGAUGGGCAGCAAUGGGCAAUGCAGCAAUGGCAGAAUGGCAGACACCACACAGCCCCCAACCACCAGUGCUGGCACUGAGCUGCCGUUCCUCCCUGAGCCCUUUUUGCUCAGCUGCAAUGCUGUCACCGUUCUGCUUUGUCUCCCACGUUGUCCGUAUCACAUUGAGUCAGAGUGCCAUUCUGCCUUCCCACAUUAACAACAGCUUUGUUAAUUGAGCUCUGUGAUGAGCGUGGGGCAGCAGGGUCAGCCCCCCCCAUCUCUGCUAAGGCUGCAACAGGACUUGUGCUUCCCUGCACGUGAAGUCUCCCUGCUGCAGGGAGCUCUGUGCCAUUGCAGUCUCAUCUGCAUUGAAGCUGAAUUCUGGCUCAGUGCUCAGCCAGCGCUUUGUGUGCUCUGAAUGCCCUUAGCGACGUAAAAACCCAUCGAGCGCAGUGCAGUGGGCUCUGCACCAUGCAGGGGGUGCAGGUAGCGCUGCACCCAGCAUUGCUCUGCGCUGCACCCAGCACUGCUCUGCGCUGCACCCAGCAUUGCUCUGCGCUGCACCCAGCAUUGCUGUGCGCUGCACCCAGCAUUGCUCUGCGCUGCACCCAGCAUUGCUCUGCGCUGCACCCAGCGUUGCUCUGCGCUGCACCCAGCACUGCUCUGCGCUGCACCCAGCAUUGCUCUGCACUGCACCCAGCACUGCUCUGCGCUGCACCCAGCAUUGCUCUGCGCUGCACCCAGCAUUGCUCUGCGUUGCACCCAGCAUUGCUCUGCGUUGCACCCAGCAUUGCUCUGCGCUGCACCCAGCAUUGCUCUGCGCUGCACCCAGCAUUGCUCUGUGCUGCACCCAGCAUUGCUCUGUGCUGCACCCAGCAUUGCUCUGCGUUGCACCCAGCAUUGCUCUGCGUUGCACCCAGCAAACAAAGGUUUGCACAAUGCACAGCUCUCAUCCCCACGCUGUCACAGCCCUCCUUGGUUCUCUCCAAAAAAGAUUCCUUUGGGGUGCAGACCGUGUUUACCCAGAGCCCCAAAAAUGAGCCGAAAAAAGGCAAAAUCCGGGCUGCAAGUGGCACUUGGGGGAAUGCAAUGCUUGCCAUCCCACCCCAAAUCCUUCAGCCCCUCCAAAACAGCGGCUGCAGCCACGGCAGCUCUUCAACUGCUGCUGGAGGGGAUUGGAUAUGAAAGGCAGCGCCGUGGCCGUAACUCACUCCCUAUUUUUUACUCCCUCCUUCCUACCCCCCCCGUCCCCCCGGC